UAAUGUGAAUUUGUUUUUGUUUAUUUGUAGGCCGAGAGAUAGGAAACAAUUGAUGGUGAGUCGCGUGAAUCGGAGAGUUUCGUCGAACGUUGAAGCUUUGAGGAGGCAAUCGUCGAGUUGGAGGGGGUUGAGGUGUUACCGAAGAAUCGGGACGACGACGCUUGCCCUUGAGUCCUUCAUUGAAUGAAGUACGUCGUUCGUGGUGGAAGCAAAGGGUUUGUCACCGUCAAAGGGAAGAUCUUCAAUGGUACUCUGGACCUCUUGAGGAAAGGAAGAGGAUGAGAGCCAUGAACCUCGGCGCAUGACCACUGCUGCGGUGGUGGAUCUUGCUGCAGUAUUGGCUGCAUCGAGGGCUGCUUGAAGAGCGGUACGUGGUAUGAUUGGUCCCUCAGAAACUAAAGCUGUGAAUUGUUGCUUCUUUUCUUCUGGAAUGUCAUCAAUAAAGUCCAUGAAUGUG